CACACAUCUUCCUGGACCCAUGCCAGUGUUGGGUUGAUAGGAUUGUCCUUGCACCUUGGUUGCCUCUUCUCCUUCAUUAAUGGUCUAUCACUGAUAAUGAUGGGGUAGCUUGAAUUCCUCUGCUGUAGUCCUACCUAUUCUGCCGAGUACUUGAUUGCUAAGCACAUCUUUUCUAGAACAUAACAUGUCGUUCAUCCCUGAUUGUGAUGGUGGUACUGUUGAUGGAACAGAUUCAACGGUUGCCAAUCCUGUUGAGUCACUGCUUGAAGAAUUCGGUCCAGUAGAUGCAUCUUCUCUUUAUCCGGGGCCAUACUGUGAAGCCGCUGGUUUAAAAAAGGAGCAUGUGUUGAAUCGUCCAGUUGCCGCAAUUUGUGAAG